CUACGGGUUGCAGCAGUGGGGAAUAUUGCACAAUGGGCGCAAGCCUGAUGCAGCCAUGCCGCGUGUAUGCAGAAGGCCUUCGGGUUGUAAAGUACUUUCAGCGGGGAGGAAGGGAGUAAAGUUAAUACCUUUGCUCAUUGACGUUACCCGCAGAAGAAGCACCGGCUAACUCCGUGCCAGCAGCCGCGGUAAUACGGAGGGUGCAAGCGUUAAUCGGAAUUACUGGGCGUAAAGCGCACGCAGGCGGUUUGUUAAGUCAGAUGUGAAAUCCCCGGGCUCAACCUGGGAACUGCAUCUGAUACUGGAAAGCUUGAGUCUCGUAGAGGGGGGUAGAAUUCCAGGUGUAGCGGUGAAAUGCGUAGAGAUCUGGAGGAAUACCGGUGGCGAAGGCGGCCCCCUGGACGAAGACUGACGCUCAGGUGCGAAAGCGUGGGGAGCAAACAGGAUUAGAUACCCGUGUAGUC
rnacentral:rRNA from 1 species